rnacentral:lncRNA from 1 species
AGAUGACUGCUGUGAGAAGUCAGUCUAUAGUAUUAGACUAAGGUUGUGUUGUGUGUUUCUAUUGACAGAUGACUGCUGUGAGAAGUCAGUCUAUAGUAUUAGACUAAGGUUGUGAUGUGUGUUUCUAUUGACAGAUGACUGCUGUGAGAAGUCAGUCUAUAGUAUUAGACUAAGGUUGUGAUGUGUGUUUCUAUUGACAGAUGACUGCUGUGAGAAGUCAGUCACAGAGACGGCCUAUCUGGGAGGAGAAGCUACCAUCAGAUGCAACUAUCCAGAGGACCAUGAGGACAGCAUCAAGUAUUUCUGCAAGGAAAGCAAUGACUUCAAGACAUGUGUUUAUAUGAUCUCUGCUUACCAGACAACUACAAAAGCUGGCCGUUUCUCUGUGUCUGACAACAGAAGAGAGAGAUUCUCCACAGUGACCAUCAGUGACCUGACUGCAGACUACACUAGAUGUAUCCUCUCUGUGGGUCAGUGGAUCAACUCUUUACAUCAGUGGUGGCUGGUGGGAGGAGAUAUCGGAGGACGGGCUCAUAGUGAAGGCUGGAGUGGAACGGAGGUCCGAUACUGUUCCAUCCAUUCCAUUCCAGCCAUUAGGAUGAGCCGAUCCUCCUAUUUCUCCACCAGUGCCCUCCUCUGCUUUCCAUGCUGUACACCUGCAGUAACUAUGUAACUACACUGUAGCUAUGUUAUGGCAUACAAUGUAAAUAACCGUAAAAUAGCAAUCACAUCUAGAACUUUCUGAAAUAUGCUGUUAUUAACUGUUAUUGACUGUUAUUAAAUGUCAACAACCAGUUUAGUGAAAUGUAGCAUUGAACUAAACAUGUUAUCAGUAGUAGUUGUUCAGGGGUUGACAGCAGGCAGUCAGUGUGUUAGUGGAGGCUGGGUGGGUCUGUGUGUUUGUAGUGGUGUGAAAAGACACUGGACCAGAACACUGUAACUUCCUUUGUAAUAACUGUGUGUCUGUAGUGGUGUGAAAAGACACUGGACCAGAACACUGUAACUUCCUCUGUAAUAACUGUGUGUUUGUAGUGGUGUGAAAAGACACUGGACCAGAACACUGUAACUUCCUCUGUAAUAACUGUGUGUUUCUAUCUCUGUCUCAGUAUCACUAAGCAGUCAUGUGUUCAAGAUUCAGUAUGAAUGUCAUCAUGAAACCUGCAGUUGUCAUCAGAGAGAGAGAGAGAGAGAGAGAGAGAGAGAGAGAGAGAGAGAGAGAGAGAGAGAGAGAGAGACAGAGAGAGAGAGAGAGAGAAACACACAGAGAGAGAGAGAGAGAGAGAGAAAGAGGAGGGAGAAAGUGAGAGAGAGGGAGGGAGAGAGAGAGAUGAAAGAGUGAUGAGCGUAAGAGAGAUAGAGAGAGAUAUGGUGAGCUAAAGGAGAACUAACACACUUCAACAGGAACAAGAGGAACCUUCCUGUCUUUACAUCUGUCUGUCUAGAGAGGAAAGUUACAACAACAUGUAUCAUGCACUGUAUCUAUCUCUCUAUAUCACUCUCUUUCUCUCUCCUUCUUUUCUAUCUAUUGUCCUCUUCCACCAUCAAUAUAUCCCUCCAUCUCUCUCUCUGUGACUCUCUCCCUCAUUCACUCUCUCUCUCCCUCCUCAUCUCUCCCUCUCCUGACCUUGCUUAACAAUUUAUAUCAGUGGCACCAACCAUCACUAUAACAACAACAACAACUACAGCACUUCCAGCCCCAACCACAACCACCUUCAUCUCACCAUCAUCAUCAUCAUCUUUCCUAAUUGUUCCUAGAAUUUCUAAGCAAACAGCUGGAGGCAGGGCUUUCUCCUAUAGAGCUCAAUUUUUAUGGAAUAGUCUGCCUACCCAUGUGAGAGACGCAGACUCAGUCUCAACCUUUAAGUCUUUACUGAAGACAUAUCUCUUCAGUAGGUCCUAUGAUUAAGUGUAGUCUGGCCCAGGGGUGUGAAGGUGAACGGAAAGGCUGGAGCAACGAACCGCCCUUGCUGUCUCUGCCUGGCCGGUUUCCCCUCUUUCCACUGGGAUUCUCUGCCUCUACCCAUGUUACAGGGGCUGAGUCACUGGCUUGCUGGUGUUCUUCC